rnacentral:rRNA from 1 species
AUUGAACGCUGGCGGCAGGCCUAACACAUGCAAGUCGAGCGGAUGAGGAGAGCUUGCUCUCUGAUUUAGCGGCGGACGGGUGAGUAAUGCCUAGGAAUCUGCCUGGUAGUGGGGGAUAACGUUCCGAAAGGAACGCUAAUACCGCAUACGUCCUACGGGAGAAAGCAGGGGACCUUCGGGCCUUGCGCUAUCAGAUGAGCCUAGGUCGGAUUAGCUAGUUGGUGAGGUAAUGGCUCACCAAGGCGACGAUCCGUAACUGGUCUGAGAGGAUGAUCAGUCACACGGGAACGGAGACACGGUCCAGACUCCUACGGGAAGCAGCAGUGGGGAAUAUUGGACAAUGGGCGAAAGCCUGAUCCAGCCAUGCCGCGUGUGUGAAGAAGGUCUUCGGAUUGUAAAGCACUUUAAGUUGGGAGGAAGGGUUGUAGAUUAAUACUCUGCAAUUUUGACGUUACCAACAGAAUAAGCACCGGCUAACUUCAUGCCAGCAGCCGCGGUAAGAC